ACGCUGGCGGCGUGCCUGAUACAUGCAAGUCGAACGAGAGCGACCGGUGCUUGCACUGGUCAAUCUAGUGGCGAACGGGUGAGUAACACGUGGGUAACCUGCCCAUCAGAGGGGGAUAACAUUCGGAAACGGAUGCUAAAACCGCAUAGGUCCUUUAACCGCAUGGUUGAAGGAGGAAAAGAGGCGCAAGCUUCUGCUGAUGGAUGGACCCGCGGUGCAUUAGCUAGUUGGUGAGGUAACGGCUCACCAAGGCCGUGAUGCAUAGCCGACCUGAGAGGGUGAUCGGCCACAUUGGGACUGAGACACGGCCCAAACUCCUACGGGAGGCAGCAGUAGGGAAUCUUCCGCAAUGGACGCAAGUCUGACGGAGCAACGCCGCGUGAGUGAAGAAGGUUUUCGGAUCGUAAAACUCUGUUGUUAGAGAAGAACAAGUGCUAGAGUAACUGUUAGCGCCUUGACGGUAUCUAACCAGAAAGCCACGGCUAACUACGUGCCAGCAGCCGCGGUAAUACGUAGGUGGCAAGCGUUGUCCGGAUUUAUUGGGCGUAAAGCGAGCGCAGGCGGUUCCUUAAGUCUGAUGUGAAAGCCCCCGGCUCAACCGGGGAGGGUCAUUGGAAACUGGGGAACUUGAGUGCAGAAGAGGAGAGUGGAAUUCCAUGUGUAGCGGUGAAAUGCGUAGAUAUAUGGAGGAACACCAGUGGCGAAGGCGACUCUCUGGUCUGUAACUGACGCUGAGGCUCGAAAGCGUGGGUAGCAAACAGGAUUAGAUACCCUGGUAGUCCACGCCGUAAACGAUGAGUGCUAAGUGUUGGAGGGUUUCCGCCCUUCAGUGCUGCAGUUAACGCAUUAAGCACUCCGCCUGGGGAGUACGACCGCAAGGUUGAAACUCAAAGGAAUUGACGGGGACCCGCACAAGCGGU
rnacentral:rRNA from 1 species